rnacentral:rRNA from 1 species
UUAAAUUGAAGAGUUUGAUCAUGGCUCAGAUUGAACGCUGGCGGCAGGCCUAACACAUGCAAGUCGGACGGUAGCACAGAGAGCUUGCUCUCGGGUGACGAGUGGCGGACGGGUGAGUAAUGUCUGGGAAACUGC